rnacentral:rRNA from 1 species
UACCAGCUCUCCGAGUGGUAGGGAUGAUUAUUGGGCUUAAAGCGUCCGUAGCCGGCUUAGCAAGUCUCCUGUUAAAUUCAGCGACCUAAUCGUUGAGCCGCGGGAGAUACUAGUAGGCUAGGAGGCGGGAGAGGUCAACGGUACUUCCGGGGUAGGGGUGAAAUCCUAUAAUCCCGGGAGGACCACCAGUGGCGAAGGCUGUUGACUAGAACGCGCUCGACGGUGAGGGACGAAAGCUGGGGGAGCGAACCGGAUUAGGAUACCCGGGUAGUCCCAGCUGUAAACGAUGCGAGCUAGGUGUUGGGGUGGCUACGUGCCACUUCAGUGCCGCAGGGAAGCCAUUAAGCUCGCCGCCUGGGGAGUACGGCCGCAAGGCUGAACUUAAGGAAUUGGCGGGGGAGCACCACAAGGCGUGAAGCUUGCGGUUC